rnacentral:rRNA from 1 species
UAAAGUUAAUAAGGGCGUACGGCGGAUGCCUUGGCGAUAUCAGCCGAAGAAGGACGCGGUAAGCUGCGAUAAGCUACGGAGAGGUGCAAGCAACCUUUGACCCGUAGAUUUCCGAAUGGGGGAACCCGGCAGUGGUUAUGCACUGUCACCCAUACCUUUGAGUAUGAGGAGGGCACCUGGGGAACUGAAACAUCUAAUUACCCAGAGGAAGAGUAAUCAAACGAGAUUUUCUUAGUAGCGGCGAGCGAACGGGAAAGAGGCCAAACCGGAGCGGGCAACCGCACCGGGGUUGAGGACAGUCAUCAAGUGUAAAUGAGGUAGAAGAAUCGAGUUGGAAAGCUCAGCCGCAGAAGGUGAAAGCCCUGUAAUCGAAACCUUGCAUACAUGGGACUGUAUCCAGAGUACCACGAGACACGUGAAACCUUGUGGGAAGCAGGGGGGACCACCCUCCAAGCCAAAAUACUGAUAUCGACCGAUAGCGCAUAGUACCGUGAGGGAAAGGUGAAAAGAACCCCUGGCGGGGAGUGAAAGAGAACCUGAAACCGUAUGUCUACAAACAGUCGAAGUCUGUAUAUAUAUCAGGACGACGGCGUGCCUAUUGAAGAAUGAACCGACGAGUUACUGUUGCUAGCGAGGUUAAGUGGAAAACAUGGAGCCGCAGCGAAAGCGAGUCUGAACAGGGCGUUCAGUUAGUGAUAGUAGACCCGAAACCGUAGUGAUCUAUCCAUGGCCAGGUUGAAGCACAGGUAAAAUUGUGUGGAGGACCGAACUCGUGAGCGUUGAAAAGCUUUGGGAUGAGUUGUGGAUAGGGGUGAAAUGCCAAUCGAACACGGAGAUAGCUGGUUCUCCCCGAAAUAGCUUUAGGGCUAGCCUCGAGGUUGAGAGUAUAGGCGGUAGAGCACUGAUCGGGCUAGGGGCCAUACCGGUUACCGAACCUAGUCAAACUACGAAUGGCUAUACUUAUACUCGGGAGUCAGACAGUGAAUGAUAAGGUCCAUUGUCAAGAGGGAAACAGCCCAGAACACCGACUAAGGUCCCCAAUGUCAUACUAAGUGGCGAAGGAUGUGGAAUUUCCAAAACAACCAGGAUGUUGGCUUAGAAGCAGCCACCAUUUAAAGAGUGCGUAAUAGCUCACUGGUCGAGAGACUCUGCGCCGAAAAUGUCCGGGGCUAAAGUAUGAAACCGAAGUCGUGUCAUAUGCAGCAAUGUAUAUGGGUAGGGGAGCGUUCUCAUCGGAUUGAAGCAGUACCGUAAGGAGUUGUGGACUGGUGAGAAGUGAGAAUGUCGGUAUGAGUAGCGAAAAGAAUGGUGAGAAUCCAUUCCACCGAAAGCCUAAGGGUUCCUGAGCAACGAUCGUCGUCUCAGGGUAAGUCGGGACCUAAGCCGAGGCGGAAAAGCGUAGGCGAUGGACAACAGGUUGAAAUUCCUGUACCGGUGUGAAUCGUUUGAUCGAAGGAGUGACACAGUAAGGUAGGUCAGCACGCGAUUGGAAGUGCGUGUUUAAGCAUGUAGGUUGAGUUAUAGGCAAAUCCGUAACUCUAAAAGCUGAGAUGUGAUGACGAGCUGUUUACAGCGAAGUGAUUGAUCCUACACUGUCGAGAAAAGCUUCUAGGUAGAGACACAUCGCCCGUACCAAAACCGACACAGGUAGGCGGGGAGAGAAUCCUAAGGUGCGCGGGAAAACCCUCGUUAAGGAACUCGGCAAAAUGCCUCCGUAACUUCGGGAAAAGGAGGACUCAUGUAGUGUGAAGGGCAGUAACGCGUGGAGCAUGAAUGAGUGGCACAAGAGAGGCGCAAGCGACUGUUUACCACAAACACAGGUGCCUGCUAAAGCGAAAGCUGAUGUAUAGGUGCUGACACCUGCCCGGUGCUGGAAGGUUAAGAGGAGGGGUUAGACUUCGGUCGAAGCUCUGAAUUGAAGCCCCAGUAAACGGCGGCCGUAACUAUAACGGUCCUAAGGUAGCGAAAUUCCUUGUCGGGU